UAAGGCUGCGUUAAGGGCUUUGUAACCCUGU
rnacentral:sRNA from 1 species